rnacentral:rRNA from 1 species
CAGCCGUAAACUAUGCGCGUUAGGUGUAUCGGUGACCACGAGUUACCGAGGUGCCGAAGGGAAACCGUGAAACGUGCCGCCUGGGAAGUACGGUCGCAAGGCUGAAACUUAAAGGAAUUGGCGGGGGAGCGACCACAACAGGUGGAGCCUGCGGUUUAAUUGGACUCAACGCCGGGAAGCUCACCGGAUAGGACAGCAGAAUGAUUGCCGGGCUGAAGACCCUGCAUGACUAGCUGAGAGGAGGUGCAUGGCGUAGACGUCU